UAAGUGAAAGCCAAAGUAGCGGCAUCUAGCUGUUAAUUAGAAGAAUGUAAUAGAUUUUACUCACUUAG
rnacentral:tRNA from 2 species